rnacentral:rRNA from 1 species
UACGUAGGGGCAAGCGUUGUCCGGAUUUAUUGGGCGUAAAGAGCGUGUAGGCGGCUUUACAGGUCCGUUGUGAAAACUCGAGGCUCAACCUCGAGACGCCGGUGGAAACCGUAAGGCUAGAGUCCGGAAGAGGAGAGUGGAAUUCCUGGUGUAGCGGUGAAAUGCGCAGAUAUCGGAAAGGAACAUCAGUGGCGAAAAGCGGCUUCCUGGACCAGCACCGACGUCAGGCA